rnacentral:ncRNA from 1 species
AAUCGCUAGGGGAGCACUUGCUGAGAUUGAGCCGCCAGGCUCUGACCCUCAUAACCUGACCCGGUUAAUGCCGGCGUAGGGAAGCACUGAU